rnacentral:rRNA from 1 species
AGCGUACACGGUGGAUGCCCUGGCAGUCAGAGGCGAUGAAGGACGUGCUAAUCUGCGAUAAGCGUCGGUAAGGUGAUAUGAACCGUUAUAACCGGCGAUUUCCGAAUGGGGAAACCCAGUGUGUUUCGACACACUAUCAUUAACUGAAUCCAUAGGUUAAUGAGGCGAACCGGGGGAACUGAAACAUCUAAGUACCCCGAGGAAAAGAAAUCAACCGAGAUUCCCCCAGUAGCGGCGAGCGAACGGGGAGCAGCCCAGAGCCUGAAUCAGUGUGUGUGUUAGUGGAAGCGUCUGGAAAGGCGCGCGAUACAGGGUGACAGCCCCGUACACAAAAAUGCACAUGCUGUGAGCUCGAUGAGUAGGGCGGGACACGUGGUAUCCUGUCUGAAUAUGGGGGGACCAUCCUCCAAGGCUAAAUACUCCUGACUGACCGAUAGUGAACCAGUACCGUGAGGGAAAGGCGAAAAGAACCCCGGCGAGGGGAGUGAAAAAGAACCUGAAACCGUGUACGUACAAGCAGUGGGAGCCUCUUUUAUGGGGUGACUGCGUACCUUUUGUAUAAUGGGUCAGCGACUUAUAUUCUGUAGCAAGGUUAACCGAAUAGGGGAGCCGAAGGGAAACCGAGUCUUAACUGGGCGUUAAGUUGCAGGGUAUAGACCCGAAACCCGGUGAUCUAGCCAUGGGCAGGUUGAAGGUUGGGUAACACUAACUGGAGGACCGAACCGACUAAUGUUGAAAAAUUAGCGGAUGACUUGUGGCUGGGGGUGAAAGGCCAAUCAAACCGGGAGAUAGCUGGUUCUCCCCGAAAGCUAUUUAGGUAGCGCCUCGUGAAUUCAUCUCCGGGGGUAGAGCACUGUUUCGGCAAGGGGGUCAUCCCGACUUACCAACCCGAUGCAAACUGCGAAUACCGGAGAAUGUUAUCACGGGAGACACACGGCGGGUGCUAACGUCCGUCGUGAAGAGGGAAACAACCCAGACCGCCAGCUAAGGUCCCAAAGUCAUGGUUAAGUGGGAAACGAUGUGGGAAGGCCCAGACAGCCAGGAUGUUGGCUUAGAAGCAGCCAUCAUUUAAAGAAAGCGUAAUAGCUCACUGGUCGAGUCGGCCUGCGCGGAAGAUGUAACGGGGCUAAACCAUGCACCGAAGCUGCGGCAGCGACGCUUAUGCGUUGUUGGGUAGGGGAGCGUUCUGUAAGCCUGUGAAGGUGUGCUGUGAGGCAUGCUGGAGGUAUCAGAAGUGCGAAUGCUGACAUAAGUAACGAUAAAGCGGGUGAAAAGCCCGCUCGCCGGAAGACCAAGGGUUCCUGUCCAACGUUAAUCGGGGCAGGGUGAGUCGACCCCUAAGGCGAGGCCGAAAGGCGUAGUCGAUGGGAAACAGGUUAAUAUUCCUGUACUUGGUGUUACUGCGAAGGGGGGACGGAGAAGGCUAUGUUGGCCGGGCGACGGUUGUCCCGGUUUAAGCGUGUAGGCUGGUUUUCCAGGCAAAUCCGGAAAAUCAAGGCUGAGGCGUGAUGACGAGGCACUACGGUGCUGAAGCAACAAAUGCCCUGCUUCCAGGAAAAGCCUCUAAGCAUCAGGUAACAUCAAAUCGUACCCCAAACCGACACAGGUGGUCAGGUAGAGAAUACCAAGGCGCUUGAGAGAACUCGGGUGAAGGAACUAGGCAAAAUGGUGCCGUAACUUCGGGAGAAGGCACGCUGAUAUGUAGGUGAAGCGACUUGCUCGUGGAGCUGAAAUCAGUCGAAGAUACCAGCUGGCUGCAACUGUUUAUUAAAAACACAGCACUGUGCAAACACGAAAGUGGACGUAUACGGUGUGACGCCUGCCCGGUGCCGGAAGGUUAAUUGAUGGGGUCAGCGCAAGCGAAGCUCUUGAUCGAAGCCCCGGUAAACGGCGGCCGUAACUAUAACGGUCCUAAGGUAGCGAAAUUCCUUGUCGGGUAAGUUCCGACCUGCACGAAUGGCGUAAUGAUGGCCAGGCUGUCUCCACCCGAGACUCAGUGAAAUUGAACUCGCUGUGAAGAUGCAGUGUACCCGCGGCAAGACGGAAAGACCCCGUGAACCUUUACUAUAGCUUGACACUGAACAUUGAGCCUUGAUGUGUAGGAUAGGUGGGAGGCUU